GGAAAGUAUAUAAAAGGGUCAGCUUAAAAACUUUUGCACAGCUAGAAUCAGUCUGGCACCAUUUGCUGACACCAUGUUUGGCUUCAAUAAAUUUCACCUUUUUGUUGUUCUGAUAUUCUUCCGGAAAACAGUUUACGGAUUUUACAUCAUAAAUGGAGAAAAGGCCCCUGCAAACUCAAUGCAGUACAUGGUCUCAGUCCAAAACGCUGGGCACCAUGUGUGCGGAGGCUUUUUGAUCAGUGAGGACUUUGUAGUCACUGCUGCACACUGCAGUACACCCAAACCUGAUGUGGUUGUUUUGGGAAGUCAUGAUCUCAAGAGUUCAAACAUAGAGAAAAUAAAUAUUGAAUACACAUGCAAACACCCAGAUUACCGCGAUAUAGGGUAUGGCAAUGACAUCAUGCUUCUCAAG